GUAACAUUUCUAGCUUGCUAGAAGAUGACGAGUGGCGGACGGGUGAGUAAUACUUAGGAAUAUGCCUUUGUGUGGGGGAUAACUAUUGGAAACGAUAGCUAAUACCGCAUAACGUCUUCGGACCAAAGGGGGCUUCGGCUCCCGCGCAAAGAGUAGCCUAAGCGAGAUUAGCUUGUUGGUGAGGUAAAGGCUCACCAAGGCGACGAUCUCUAGCUGUUCUGAGAGGAAGAUCAGCCACACUGGAACUGAGACACGGUCCAGACUCCUACGGGAGGCAGCAGUGGGGAAUAUUGCACAAUGGGGGAAACCCUGAUGCAGCCAUGCCGCGUGUGUGAAGAAGGCCUUCGGGUUGUAAAGCACUUUCAGUUGUGAGGAAAGGUUAACGGUUAAUACCCGUUAGCUGUGACGUUAGCAACAGAAGAAGGACCGGCUAACUCCGUGCCAGCAGCCGCGGUAAUACGGAGGGUCCGAGCGUUAAUCGGAAUUACUGGGCGUAAAGCGCACGCAGGCGGUUUGUUAAGCUAGAUGUGAAAGCCCUGGGCUCAACCUGGGAAUUGCAUUUAGAACUGGCAGGCUAGAGUUUUGGAGAGGGGAGUGGAAUUCCAGGUGUAGCGGUG
rnacentral:rRNA from 1 species